UGUGACAUAGCUCAGUUGGUAGAGCGACCCCUUCAUACGGGGUAGGUCACAGGUUCGAACCCUGUUGUCACAA
rnacentral:tRNA from 1 species